GGUUCCCGUAGUGUAGUGGUUUAUCACGUUCGCUUCACACGCAAAGGUCCCCGGUUUCGACCCCGGACGGAACCA